rnacentral:rRNA from 1 species
GCCUAAAGCGUCCGUAGCCGGCUCUGUAAGUUUUCGGUUAAAUCUGUACGCUCAACGUACAGGCUGCUGGGAAUACUGCAGAGCUAGGGAGUGGGAGAGGUAGACGGUACUCGGGAGGAAGUGGUAAAAUGCUUUGAUCUCUCGAUGACCACCAGUGGCGAAGGCGGUCUACCAGAACACGUUCGACGGUGAGGGAUGAAAGCUGGGGGAGCAAACCGGAUUAGAUACCCGGGUAGUCCCAGCUGUAAACGAUGCAGACUCGGUGAUGCAUUGGCUUGUGGCCAGUGCAGUGCCGCAGGGAAGCCGUUAAGUUUGCCGCCUGGGAAGUACGUACGCAAGUAUGAAACUUAAAGGAAUUGGCGGGGGAGCACCACAAGGGGUGAAGCCUGCGGUUCAAUUGGAGUCAACGCCAGAAAUCUUACCCGGAGAGACAGCAGAAUGAAGGUCAAGCUGAAGACUUUACCAGACAAGCUGAGAGGUGGUGCAUGGCCGUCGCCAGCUCGUGCCGUGAGAUGUCCUGUUAAGUCAGGUAACGAGCGAGACCCUUGCCUCUAGUUGCCACCAUUGCUCUCUGGAGCAGUGGGGCGAAUUAGCGGGACCGCCGCAGUUAAUGCGGAGGAAGGAAAGGGCUACGGCAGGUCAGUAUGCCCCGAA